rfam:Callithrix jacchus chromosome 7, whole genome shotgun sequence
GAGGACGACUGGGCGGCACCUGUGCGCCCCAACCCCUCACAGCUACAGAACUCUGCGUCACAGAAGUGCCAAGGCCUCAAACUCAGGAAGAGGGGAGGGGACUUGGGAUGUUCCCUCGGCAUAGAAAGGAGAAAGGGGGACUCUAAAAGGCC